AUUCUCUGGUUUCUCUUCAGAAUGUAUAAAUCUUUUGCCUUUACAUCUAAUCUUUAGUAAAUGGAGAGAAAGAACUCUGAGUUUUUAACAAAUUUUUUGAGGCCCUGCUCUAGCUGGGCU